CGUGUAGGCGGUUGGUCAAGUCGGGUGUGAAAGCCUGGGGCUCGAGCCCCAGAAGUGCAUCCGAAACUAGCCAGCUAGAGCGCGAUAGAGGAGGGUGGAAUUCCUGGUGUAGCGGUGAAAUGCGUAGAUAUCAGGAGGAACACCGGCGGCGAAGGCGGCCCUCUGGAUCGUUGCUGACGCUGAGACGCGAAAGCGUGGGGAGCAAACAGGAUUAGAUACCCUGGUAGUCCACGCCUUAAACGAUGGGUACUAGGUGUUCGGGGUGUUGACCCCCUGAGUGCCGCAGUUAACGCAUUAAGUACCCCGCCUGGGGACUACGGCCGCAAGGUUAAA
rnacentral:rRNA from 1 species